GUGUGUACUGUGAAUACAGGAUGUUUGUGUAGUGGAUGCUGUGUGUACAGUUAAUGCAGAGUGUAUGUUAGUGUAGUGAAUGCAGAUUGUGUGUCAGUAUAGUGAAUCCAUAGUGUAUGCAUAGUUUAGUGAAUGCAGAGUGUGUGUUAGUGUGUAGUGAAUGCAGAGUGUGUCAGUGUAAUGAAUGUAGUGUGUGUGUUAGUGCAGUGAAUGCAGAGUGUGUGUUAAUGUGUAGUGAAUGCAGAGUGUGUGUUAGUGUAGUGAAUGCAGAAUGUGUGUUAGUGUGUAGUGGAUGCAGAGUGUGU